rnacentral:tRNA from 1 species
AUUGUGGUAGCUCAGUGGUUAGAGCUUAGGUCUCGAUCCGAAAGGUCCUGGGAUCGAAUCCCGGCAGAAAUU